rnacentral:lncRNA from 1 species
GGGCGGUUUCCUCCUCUGUGUCUUCCUAAACCGCCGGUGACCUGCAGAACAAGAAAAUAAACGCAACACCAGUCGAUUUUAGUUUGCUUGUUUCAAUCUUUAGAUCUAUUUUUGUUCUGCAGAUCUCUUCAAUCGGUGGCUCUGUCGGAGGCGGGAGCUGUCGGUGGUGGUCACUGUGUUGACAGCGCGGACGGCGCUGUUCGGCUGAAGAAGGAGACGACGGGUCUGAGGCGA